rnacentral:rRNA from 1 species
UGUUUAGCCGUAAAUUAACUUACACCCAAUACGCCAAAGAAUUACGAGCGCAAGCCUAAAACUUAAGGACUUGACGGUGUCUCAUCCCCCUAGAGGAGCCUGUCCUAUAAUCGAUAACCCCCGAUAAACCCGACUGCUUUUUGCCUUUCAGCCUGUAUACCUCCGUCGAAAGCUUACCUUGUGAAAGUCACUUAGUGAGCCAAUAGACCCGUACGUCUUUAUGUCAGGUCAAGGUGCAGCCAAUAAAGUAGCAGAGAUGGGCUACAGUUUCUACCAUAGAACAAACAGAUGAUUUCUCAUGAAACAAGACCAGAAGGCGGAUUUAGAAGUAAAAAGAAAAUAAAGCGUUCUUUUUAAUUAGGUCCUGAGACAAGU